AAUUGGCUUGCUUCUGAGAGUUUGGUGGUGAAGAGAAAAUGGGAAUAUGCAUGGGAAAAUCUGCAAAAUGUGCUCAUGCUUCUUCUAAUCAGUUCAUGGGAUUCUUGGAAGAAGGCCGGUUUUCUUUUCGGACAUUAAAGUUUUAUUGUCUAAAUUUCCCCGGUCAUCUUGCAUGUCCGACGGUUAGAUAAUAAGCUUUCUUGAAUGAAAGAAUUAUCACGGUGAAUUGCCGAUUCUCGUUGA